GAUGAACGCUGGCGGCAUGCUUUACACAUGCAAGUCGGACGGGAAGUGGUGUUUCCAGUGGCGGACGGGGGAGUAACGCGUAAGAACCUGCCCUCGGGAGGGGAACAACAGCUGGAAACGGCUGCUAAUACCCCGUAGGCUGAGGAGCGAAAGGAGGAAUCCGCCCAAGGAGGGGCGCGCGUGUGAUUAGCUAGUGGGUGAGGUAAUAGCUUACCCAGGGCGUGAUCAGUAGCUGGUCCGAGAGGAUGUGCAGCCACACAGUGACUGAGACAAGGGCCACAGACCUCCGGGGGGCGGAGCAGUGGGGUUUUCCAGAAUGUGCGAGAGCCUCACGGCGCGAUGCGGCGUGGGAGUAAUAGGGCUACGAGUCAUGAACUGCUUUUCCAGCAGAAGAAACAAUGACGGUAUCUGGAGAAUAAGCAUCGGCUAACUCUGUG
rnacentral:rRNA from 1 species